AAUUUCCUUUCUAUAUUAUCGGUCUGCCUAUAUCAAAAAGAACGAACAACACCUAAUUGCAUUCUGUUUAAGCUCAAUAGAAAAUAAGUAGUUAAUGCGACCAAGAAAGUAGUGCAGCAGAACUAUAUGUAUACUUUCAAACGUGGAUGACUUUAAGAAAAAGCUGAUGUUCAAAAAAACUUGAAAUGAUGAUAUUCAAUGUUAGCUAACAUCAAUGGAACAUAAUCUUAAACGUGUACGAAAAAAAAACAUCAGUAUUAUUACGCAUUAGGCCACAGAAAAGUUUGUGUCCAUGUACCUAUGUACAAUAAAUUGAAUAUAAAUAAGGUGUCAUUUUGUAGCAGAGAUGCUGAAAAAUUCACAUGUAAGUCAACCGAAGGGAAAUGAAAGUAUUUAUUGUAUAUAUUUAGCAAUUUAUUGAAUAGCAUUUUAUGCCACCGCUGAUUUUUUUUACGUCAAUAACUCAAGAGGAAACAAUGGAUACAAUAUGUGGCCUUAAAAAAGCGUACUAUUUUCGCAAAAAAUGGUUCGCAAACUUUCAUAGAAUCAAAGCGUUUGAAACAAAAAUAUUAUUAUGUAAAUAAUAAAAAACAAGAUAACACUACAAGUCUUUCAAAGGUAUUCUGGAAUUAACGGAUGCAAUUUGGUAAAACUUGGUUUUGACUAGUAGGGCACACCCGCCAUUGUUCGGACCAUCGACAGAAUAACGUUCGUGUUUUUCAGAUUUCUCCAUCCAAGACAUAGAUUUGCUGAUGAAUAACAUCGCAAAGAUCUUGGUGUAUUGUCUUUCAUACUUGGCCACAACAACCCUUCAAAUAGACCAGACUAAACUAAAUUAACUUGACCACCAUAUUAACAUUCAAGAAGUUCGGCCUACAUGUCAGAUUUAUGAAUGUGAACAGCAGGAUAUCGAUUUUAAGGAUGCUUUAGGGUCAAUGACAAUGAAAUCACGAGAGAUAAAGGCUAAAAUGUGAGACUGUCAAUCUGACUAACCUUGAAGUGAACAAAUGGAAAAAAUGUCUCUUUCAAUAGCAUGGGCUUUUAAGGAAGAGGAAACAGAGGCGCUUAUAUGAUAGAACAGUAAAAGCAGGAGUGAUAAGGAAAGAUACAUGUAGAAUAAGAUGUGUCUUCAUGUCUGAAACACUAAAGAAAUAGAAAUAUUGUGGUUUUAUAAACUUUAAAAGAAA